UUCCAUUUACUGGUCUUGGGAGAUACUGUACCCAAGACAGGCCCUUUUGAAAUUUUCUAAGAAGGCCUCAGUAUCAUCGCCUGCCUUGUAGGUGGAGAACUUUCUGGGAUGGGAAGCGGUACCUGGAGAAGGAUUGCCAGGGUUGUCUGGUACAUUCUGC